rnacentral:rRNA from 1 species
GUUACAAUGGGGGGUACGAGAGGGCCGCUACCACGCGAGUGGAUGCCAAUCCCCAAAACCUCUCUCAGUUCGGACUGGAGUCUGCAACCCGACUCCACGAAGCUGGAUUCGCUAGUAAUCGCGCAUCAGCCACGGCGCGGUGAAUACGUUCCCGGGCCUUGUACACACCGCCCGUCAAGCCAUGGGAGCCGGGGGUACCUGAAGUGCGUAACCGCGAGGAGCGCCCUAGGGUAAAACUGGUGGCUGGGGCUAAGUCGUAACAAGGUAAC